rnacentral:lncRNA from 1 species
UGGGGGGCACUGGAUCAAUUUCUGGAGCCAGGCAGACUUGCCAACAACAAUUUUCUUUUUCCCAGAGGGCCUUGGAGGCCGGCAGCAGGUUCCAAGUCCUUCCUCUCCUGCCCGUUCGGCGUGGGCUCCCUGACAGCGAGUUUGAAAAGGGUUACAGAGAGGCAGAUAAAUGCUGGGCUUGUUGCAGCCUUCCUGACAGCGCCGACCCCCGCGCCAGUGAGCUCAUGCCCGCCUCAUUACGCUCGGUGCCAGAUUUUUUCCAUUAACAGGGCCAUAAUAUUCAGAGAAGAGGAGCUGGUUUCCUGUGUCUCCCCCCGCCCCCCGCGCGCCCCCCACGGCCGUCUGACACCUUGUUUUAAGAGCGGAUGGUGAAGUACCUUCCCUUCGCGCAGAGGCUUUUGCUCGCUCCUCGCUCGCUCUAGCGCACAUGCGCACACGCACGUGCACGCAUACGCGCACGUAUACGCACACAGACGCACACGCACACCUGGAAGAUCACCCCUAGACGCCUGUUGACCUCACAGCUUCAGUCUGCAACCCGCAAAGCCCUGUUCCCGGUCCCUCCCAGUCGGCCAGCCCCGCCCUCUUUGCUGCACCUGCGCACGUGCUCCAGGUGGAUGGCGUCCCAGGCGACCGAGGGACAGGAAGCAAGCCGAGGGACAGACACUCGAGAGGAAACCCUGAACGCAGCCUUUGUGCUCCCGAGUCAGUGCCACCAAGAGCUGCUUACCAAGAAGAGACCAGAGGUGGUCGUAUGACAUCCCUUAGGAUUCUUGCGAAGCCAACUCAUUUCUCCAGUCAUACCGGCAUUCUCGUGUCUCUAUGCUGUUCUCUGGGCUGACAUCCUCAGGUAUCAAGAGUUACUCAUUAAAAACACAAGGCAGGUCAUAACCAAAAUGAAAAGACAACCUAUGGACGGGUAGAAAAUAUUUGAAAAUGUUGUGAACAACAAGGACUUAAUUUCUAAAAUAUGCGAACAGCUCAUACAACUCAGUAACAAAAAAAAAGCAAACAUGGGUAAACAAAAAGAUCCUACCGUAUAGCACAGGAAACUAUUUUCAAUAUCCUGUAAUAAGCUGUAAUGGGAAAGAAAACGAAAACAAACAAACAAAAAAACCAGACAACUCAGUCAAAAAGUGGGCAGAAAACCUAAAUAGAUAUUUCUCUAAAGAAAACAUACUGAUGGCUAAUAGGCACAAGAAAAGAUGCUCACCAUCACUAAUUACUGGAGAAAUGCAAAUCAAAACAACAAUGAGAUACCACCUCACACCCGUCAGAAUGCCUAUCAGCAAAAAGUCUACAAAGAGGAGUGCCUGGUGUGGCUCAGCAGAAAUGAAUCUGACUAGUAUUCAUGAGGACACAGGUUCCAUUCCUGGCCUCGCUCAGUGGGUUAAGGAUCUGGUGUUGCCAUGAGCUGUGGUGUAAGUUGAAGACGUGGCUCGGAUCUGGUGUUGCUGUGGCUGUGCUGAAGGCCAGCAGCUACAGAUCCGAUUUGACCCCUAGUCUGGGAACGUCCAUACACCGUGGGUGCAGCCCUAAAAAAAAAAAAAAAGAAAAAAA